UGCCGAGCAACUUCUAUCCCUACCUCCUCGUGGUACCGGCCGGAAACUAUGAGCAACCUUAGGGAAGAUCGGGUAAUCAACUCCGGUAGUCGUAGGCUGACAGGGAAGG
rnacentral:ribozyme from 1 species